rnacentral:rRNA from 1 species
CCUACGGGAGGCAGCAGUGAGGAAUAUUGGUCAAUGGGCGCGAGCCUGAACCAGCCAAGUCGCGUGAGGGAUGACGGUCCUACGGAUUGUAAACCUCUUUUGCCGGGGAGCAACGGGCGUCACGUGUGGCGCCACUGAGAGUACCCGGAGAAAAAGCAUCGGCUAACUCCGUGCCAGCAGCCGCGGUAAUACGGAGGAUGCGAGCGUUAUCCGGAUUUAUUGGGUUUAAGGGGUGCGUAGGCGGAUCGUUAAGUCAGUGGUCAAAUUGAGGGGCUCAACCCCUUCCCGCCAUUGAAACUGGCGUUCUUGAGUGGAAGAGAAGUAUGCGGAAUGCGUGGUGUAGCGGUGAAAUGCAUAGAUAUCACGCAGAACCCCGAUUGCGAAGGCAGCAUGCCGGCUUCCGACUGACGCUGAAGCACGAAAGCGUGGGGAUCGAACAGGAUUAGAUACCCCUGUAGUC